AAUUCUCUAACAUAUUUAAUUGUUAAUUCUCUAACAAUUUAACUGUAUUUAAUUGUUAUUUAGUCAGGCAGUUCUUAGGACAUCUAUAAGGGGCCUGUAAGCAAAGGCCUUGAUUCGCGCUCAAACGUUAACGGGCCAUUCGGAAAGCAACGCUGCUAGCUGUCAUUUCGAGGAGAAGAACUUCACAUCAGACAUUCACAAGGAUAGAGAGGACUCUUAGGAAUCAGCAGCCCUCGUGUGUCCCAGAGGGGAAGCCACAGCCCUCAAAUUUCCAGGUGGCGAAGCAGGUCUUAGAGGAGCAGGUCAAAUGGAUCCUGUUGGGGAAGCAGCGCCCAUGGUUCCAAGUAUUUAUGUGCACUGAAGAGUAAUGCAAUUACUCAAAAGUGUGAACCGCAAGCAAGUGGAAAUGGCACUGGGGAAGUGGCGCAUGGACCGUGGAGGGGAGAGGGCUGCAAGAGCCCAAAGAUAAAAGGGAGCAUCCACCACGCCCUGAGUGUAUUUUGUAUUUAAAGAGUAGUUCAUUUUUGAAAAAAAAAACAAAAAAACUUUUGCUGAUAAUUU